AUGAAGUCGGAAUUGCUAGUAAUCGCGGAUCAGCAUGCCGCGGUGAAUACGUUCCCGGGUCUUGUACACACCGCCCGUCACACCACGAGAGUUUACAACACCCGAAGUCGGUGAGGUAACCGCAAGGGGCCAGCCGCCGAAGGUGGGGUAGAUGAUUGGGGUGAAGUCGUAACAAGGUAGCCGUAUCGGAAGGUGCGGCUGGAUCACCUCCUUU
rnacentral:rRNA from 2 species